rnacentral:rRNA from 1 species
AGAGUUUGAUCAUGGCUCAGAUUGAACGCUGGCGGCAGGCUUAACACAUGCAAGUCGAGCGGUAACAGAAAGUAGCUUGCUACUUUGCUGACGAGCGGCGGACGGGUGAGUAAUGCUUGGGAAUAUGCCUUAUGGUGGGGGACAACAGUUGGAAACGACUGCUAAUACCGCAUAACGUCUACGGACCAAAGGAGGGGAUUCUUCGGAACCUUUCGCCAUUUGAUUAGCCCAAGUGAGAUUAGCUAGUAGGUGAGGUAAGAGCUCACCUAGGCGACGAUCUCUAGCUGGUUUGAGAGGAUGAUCAGCCACACUGGGACUGAGACACGGCCCAGACUCCUACGGGAGGCAGCAGUGGGGAAUAUUGCACAAUGGGGGAAACCCUGAUGCAGCCAUGCCGCGUGUGUGAAGAAGGCCUUCGGGUUGUAAAGCACUUUCAGUUGUGAGGAAAGGGAUGUAGUUAAUAACUGCAUUCUGUGACGUUAACAACAGAAGAAGCACCGGCUAACUUCGUGCCAGCAGCCGCGGUAAUACGAGGGGUGCAAGCGUUAAUCGGAAUUACUGGGCGUAAAGCGUUCGUAGGCGGUUAUUUAAGCAAGAUGUGAAAGCCCAGGGCUCAACCUUGGAACUGCAUUUUGAACUGGGUAACUAGAGUACUGUAGAGGGUGGUGGAAUUUCCAGUGUAGCGGUGAAAUGCGUAGAGAUUGGAAGGAACAUCAGUGGCGAAGGCGGCCACCUGGACAGAUACUGACGCUGAGGAACGAAAGCGUGGGGAGCGAACAGGAUUAGAUACCCUGGUAGUCCACGCCGUAAACGAUGUCGACUAGCCGUUCGUGGACUUGAUCCGUGAGUGGCGCAGCUAACGCACUAAGUUGACCGCCUGGGGAGUACGGCCGCAAGGUUAAACUCAAUGAAUUGACGGGGCCC